rnacentral:lncRNA from 1 species
GCAACACCUGACCCAAAUUUUGAAAUUUGAGAUUAGGGAGUGACACUGUUCAGCACAAACAUAAACAAAAUUGUGAACUAGAUCAUGCAGAGGAUAUCAUAUGAGGCAUAGAAGGAUGGAUGGUAGUGGAGAAGGAUCUCCACAGUGAAUAUUCUAGCGUCUCACGAGAGGCUCACAGUUGAAGAACUCCAGAGGUGGCCAGCAUGACACCUGAGCAAGCAGUGGCAUCCGUGGCUCUAUGGCUACGUGGAAAAGAAACAUAGUGCUGCACACCAGGGCUUAGGUUUUCAGCUUCGCAGAAACAGACACAGUUUCCCAUCCUUCUUAGGUGGUUUCCAAAGUCCUUCAGUUUCUGGCUCCUGGUCACCUUGGCAACAUCAUUUCCUAAAGCUGCUUCUUCUCUUGGAGCUCCCGCAACACAGAUGCUUUUACUCUUCCUUGAGCCUAGCAAGUGUGAUCUUCUCUUAGUGACUCUGCACUUGUGGUUCCUCCAGUUUCCUGGAUAUUUGUACACAAGAGGCAAGGAGAGAUUACAAACCUCUUAGCAUAAUACCCGGCACGCAGAAGACGGACUUGACAUAGGGAUUUGUCUGGUCACUUAUGAUGAGAUCUUACCAGGAAACACCAUUUGUUUUCCUUAUGGUCAUUCUAAAACUGGAAACUGAUGGGCCACGCAAUGGAGUAUGCCAUUCCAGCCAGGAAACCUACAACCUGGAGCAAAUGAAAACACAGGACUCCUAUGGAGCACUCCACGCUGGGAGCUAACCUCACCACUGGGAAGCAUUAAGGGGUAGUGUGGCCUGUUGGUCAGAACAUGACCAUCUGGACUCAUUCUCAGCAGUGUGAUUGUACAUUACAUCCUCCACUUCUCCAUUCCAACUGACAAUGCCACCAAUAGCUGAGAAAGUGGAGGCCAUGGGAAGCUGGUACCUACUAGGAUAUCCUAUUGGCUCCUGUCCUCUCUGCCCAGUUACUGACCACGGCACCAAGCUUCAGAUUCUGUUUAAUACUGUCCUUUACACAAUGGUGCCUGGGUCUUUUGAAAUGGAUAGGGAUAAUUAUGAUUCAUAUGCUUCAAGAAAUAAACCACGGUACUCACACAACCUACAUAUUUCAUUUCUAUUUUAAAAACACAAAAUACUUACAUGCUGUUGGUGUUUUGAAAGCUUUUGCCACUUAUGCUUUUUUAAAUAUAAUGGUUCAGAAACAAAAUUCUGCCUGCUAAUCAGUCUUUAUUUCCAUUCAUAAAAAAUUAUGUCUCCAUAAUACCUAAGAGGUCAAUAACUAGAUGUUGAAACAAA